UCCCUGAAGGUCUAGUGGUUAGGACUCUGCACUGUCACUGCAGGGGCCCUGGUUCAGUCCCUGGUCGGGGAA